UCUGCUGCUGUUAUCUCUAGAAGGAUCGAGCCUAUUCUUCACCAUCCUCCACCUACUCUCGCAGAGGGGAAAAGUGGAAAGAAAAAAACCCACAAAGUUAACUUUAACAAACAGUUCUUUCUCUCAAUAUAGUCUUAUCUCUCAUUCGCAGACAGAGGGAAAAGGACACGAUUUUACACAAACAGGCGAUAUUAAGUGAAGAGCCUCUCUGGACCAGGUGGUAGCAGUGGCAACUACUGCAGCUUAUCAACCUUUAAUUAUAGUAAUGAAUUUCGAAGUAGAUACCAUAUAGUUACUGAUUUUUUGUCUAUUUUGUCUCCCUUUGAAGCUUCCUGAGCCGCCAUGGCUCUGCCCAACUGUUUCUGUAAUUGCUGAUAUUUGUCUAGGGUGGCCUUGGAGCUUCUUCUGCAAUGGCUCUGCCAUGGGGGUGCCUCUGCUCUCUGCGCUCGGUCCGACACUCCCCCAUGCCCCCCUGGGUUGGGUGGAAAAUGAUCUAAAUCUGGCUCCUCUUCAUAGGUAGAGUCAAUAUAUUGCCCCUGUAUGUCCACAAUCAAUUUAAAAGUAUUGGAUAUCUCCUUAUUUUCUUUUCUCUGACUCUCCCCCCCUCUCUAAGGGUGGCAUAGCCAACAACGCUUGCUCAGCAGUGGGAGGUAAAGAUGGCUGCUGCUGUGGUGCAGGUAAAAUUACGGGGUUCACAGACUGUGUAGAUUGCUCAUUAACAAUCUUUGCUAUUAUAACUUUGUCCACAGCCCCUCUGUUACCACCGUCCACCCCGCAGCGAGCAGGGAGGCUGGGGACGUAGUUUUAGCUUGCCAGAUGAGGCCUUAAAAACGAGGCUCUUUCCCUUUGCUGAGAUGGCAGUUGCAGUUUUAUUUCUUGGGAUCUUUCAGGGUGACAUGGCAGGAGGGAAAGAGGAAGAGGUAUCGAUAGGCACUCCUUUUUCAGGACAGGGGAGAAGGGGGUGUGGGGGAUUUACACAACCAAUAAGGGGACCUGGGGAGAACAAGAUAAGGGAAAGAACUUACAAGUCUACAUUUUCGGGGGUACAUUCUUUGGGUCAUGUUGCCGCUGAAGAUGAAUAGAUCACACGGACACAGGUCGAGGUGUGGUGAAAGGAAGAGCAGAGUUUAUUUUUCCUCCCAGGAUUUAUAGGCUUCUGACCACGGCCAGGGAUUGGAUGGUCAGGAUAACACUUUCUCACUGCACUGGCCAUGAGAGAUGUCCAUCACAAGACGUGUAACAGAAAGAAUGUACACAUAUCUAUGUUUACAGUUACUGUCCUGGGAAAGUCCUUAGAAAACCAUGUCAGCAAGCUCAGAAGCUGAGUUUUCAGGGCGACAUCUCACCCUUUUUGGUUUAACAAAAAGAAAAGAAAGAAAAAAAUGAACAAAGAAACUAGCAACAUUAUAAACAAUCAAAAGGAUAAAUAAUAGGAAAAUACAAUACUCCAUACAAUCAGAAGGCUGUAAUUUCAGGGUGUUAUCUCACCCUUUCAUUAUUACAAAAAAAAAAACAAAAAAUCCAAAAACAACAAAAACCCCAAAAAAAUAAAUGAAACAAAUGUCCAACAUCAACACCUGCUUGUGGAUGGGUCUCAAUUUGGUCACGGAGGCAGAAUCCAUGGCCAAAUUGAAAGGUGCCUGGGAAAACUUCUGAAAUGCUAUGACAGCAGCCUGUAAUUCCACCAAUUGGGCUGAUCCAGACUCAUGACUCUCCAAAAAAAAACCUAAAAACAAAACAGCGACAUCGAUGGAAAGAUUAAUGUAAUAAACUUGAGGAACAGAAACUGCUCGCAGAACCUCCUCCAGCACCUCUCUGAUCAGACACCGCACGCCAUAUUUCCAUAACCAGGCCCUCCGUAGGAGAGAGCCCAAAACCAUCCAUAGCCACAGGCUAGAUAGUACCCUGUAACGUCACCUGCAACACACGUCAGAGGUCACCAGAUGUUGCCGCUAAAGAUGAAUAGAUCACACGGACACAGGUCGAGGUGUGGUGAAAAGAAGAAAAGGUUUAUUUUUCCUUCCAGGAUUUAUAGGCUUCUGACCACGGCCGGGGAUUGGAUGGUGUUGAUAACACUUUCUCCCUGCACUGGCCAUGAGACAUGCCCAUCACAAGAUGUGUAACAGAAAGAAUGUACACAUAUCUAUGUUUACAGUUACUGUCCUGGGAAAGUCCUUAGCAAACCAUGUCAGCAAGCUCAGAAGCUGAGUUUUCAGGGCGACAGGGUCAUACCAUUUUUCCUAACUGCAUUACAACAGAUCUUAAUUAACAAAAAGCACGGAAAAAGCAGCAAAGGUAGGCAAUCUCCCACAGCAUUCCAGAGAAACUUUUUAAAAGUAGUCUCAAAGUCCAUAUCAAGCAAUUUCCACUUCAUCCAAAUGAAAAAGCUUCUUAACUAUUGCUUAGGAGGAUAAUUACUUUUUAUCAAUUUUUUUAAAUUUAUGAUAAACGUCCCUCUAUUGCUUUGAAAUUUUAUCACUCAUCCAAAGUUCCCCAGUCCUCACUUGAAUCGUCCAGGCCAGGGAUGAAAACGAGCACCUCUGCUGUCCUUGUUCAGUGAGAGACUGCAUAGGUUUCUUUUCAACUGCUUCUUAGGGGUCAUUGAAGCCUUCCUUUCUGACUAAAGCUUAAUUUCCAGGAUAACGUACAUUGGGACUUUCUCGACUGCUAAUCCUAGUGAUCGACCUCACUGAGGCAUCAGAUUGUCAAGACUAAAAAUGAGGAAUGGGACCACCAUGCUUUGAGAUGAUUUAUUGCUCAAGUAAGCCAGAUAAGAUGUCAGUCUAAAGGUGUGAGAUUUAGAGGAGCCACCCUUACAGUAAAAAAUUUCUUUCUUAUGUCUAACCUAAAUUUCUCCUCUUUCAGAAGAUGAUGAAGUUUCUUUCAGAAACAUCAUUUCCAUGAGUGGAUUCUUCCCUCCUCAUUAAGUAUCAAUUAAUGCAAAACCAGCACAAAUUUGUACCCAUUUCUCCUUGUCCUAUCAUUACAGUUCUUGAUGAAGAGUCCCUCUCCAGCUUCCCUGUAGGUCCCCUUCAGAUACUAGAAGGCUAUGAGGUCUCCAUGCAACCUUCUCUUCUCCAGGCUGAAUAGCCCCAACUUUCUCAGGCCCCCAACUGUCUUUGUAGGGGAGGUACUCCAGGCAUCAAUUUCAUGGCCCUCCUCUGGACAUGCUCAAACAGUUCCAUGUCUUUCUUAUGUUGGAGACACCAGGACUGCAUGCAGUACUCCAUAUGAGGUCUCACCAGAGCUGAGAUUCACCUUGGACCUGCUGCCAACUCUCCUUUUGAUGCAGCAUGACACAGUUGGCUUUCUGGGUUGCGAGAGCUUACUGCUGCCUCAUGUUGAAUUUUCCUUCAACCAUCACCCCCAAGUCUUUCUCUGCAGAGCUGCUCUCAAUCACUUUUUCCCUCAACCUGUCAGUGUGUCUGGGAUUGCUGCAACCUAGGCGUAGGACCUCACACUUUACUUUGUUGAACUUCAUGAGGUUUGC